UACAGAGGGGGCAAGCGUUGUUCGGAAUUACUGGGCGUAAAGGGCGCGUAGGCGGCCUUCUAAGUCGAACGUGAAAUCCCCGGGCUCAACCCGGGAACUGCGUCCGAUACUGGAAGGCUUGAAUCCGGGAGAGGGAUGUGGAAUUCCAGGUGUAGCGGUGAAAUACGUAGAUAUCUGGAGGAACACCGGUGGCGAAGGCGACAUCCUGGACCGGUAUUGACGCUGAGGCGCGAAAGCCAGGGGAGCAAACGGG
rnacentral:rRNA from 1 species